GUGCUCACUUUGGCAGCACAUAUAUUAAAAUUGGAACAAUACAGAGAUUAGCAUGACCCCUGCACAAGGAUGAUACACAAAUUCAUGGUGUUAGCUUGAUAGUG